AGACAAGGAACAGCAGCACAUCACCUGCUAAUUUGAAAGGCGAAAACAUCUUUCUGUGGAUUUUUAUCAUGUUUUGGACUAAGUAUUUUUACUGCAGUGGAUCGUGUGGAUCUUUGACGAUGUUACACAGAUCACAGAGAGGUGUAACAGCCUGUAGGAAACUCCAUGGUGGCUCUUUAGAGCUAAUUCGGUUUGUCCAUUCUGGGCUACUGUAGAAACAUGGUAGUGCAACAUGGCUGACUCCAUGGAAGAGGACAACAGCUGUUAUUUUCAGGUGCAGAAGCCAUGCUGAAACGAGACAGACUUCAAUGGGGAUGGAAGAUCAUAAGGAGAUCCACUACAGAGGCCGCUGGCUGCUGUAUAACAGCAGAUACG